AACGAACGCUGGCGGCAUGCCUAACACAUGCAAGUCGAACGAGACCUUCGGGUCUAGUGGCGCACGGGUGCGUAACGCGUGGGAACCUGCCCUUAGGUUCGGAAUAACUCCCCGAAAGGGGUGCUAAUACCGGAUAAUGUCUUCGGACCAAAGAUUUAUCGCCUUUGGAUGGGCCCGCGUUGGAUUCGCUCGUUGGUAGGGUAAAAGCCUACCAAGGCGACGAUCCAUAGCUGGUCUGAGAGGAUGAUCAGCCACACUGGGACUGAGACACGGCCCAGACUCCUACGGGAGGCAGCAGUGGGGAAUAUUGGACAAUGGGCGAAAGCCUGAUCCAGCAAUGCCGCGUGAGUGAUGAAGGCCUUAGGGUUGUAAAGCUCUUUUACCCGGGAUGAUAAUGACAGUACCGGGAGAAUAAGCGCCGGCUAACUCCGUG
rnacentral:rRNA from 1 species